AGUUGAAUGUGUGCGGUUGUGGGGAUAUUGACGUGCUGGUGAGCUCCUUCAAGCUCGAGUGUGCGUCUUGCCACGGCCUUGAAGGAGUUCAGUGGUACAUCAAUGUCCAUGGCAUACUCAAGGCGGGAC
rnacentral:miRNA from 19 species